rnacentral:rRNA from 1 species
AUUGAGUGAUACUCUUAGUCAGACUAGGCGUUUGCUUGAAAAGUAUUGGCAAGAGUGUACUAGAUAGUACUAUCUGAUUAUUCAAUGUAUUAGGUUUAUCCAACUCGUUGAAGCAGUCGGUGGUAAAUUUUUAGUAACUGGCUCGGCCUUACAACAACAAACAAGUUUGACCUCAAAUCAGGUAAGAAUACCCGCUGAACUUAAGCAUAUCAAUAAGCGGAGGAAAAGAAACCAACAGGGAUUGCCUUAGUAGCGGCGAGUGAAGCGGCAAUAGCUCAAAUUUGAAAUCUGUCACCUUCGGUGUCCGAGUUGUAAUUUGAAGAAGGUAUCUUUGGUUUUGGCUCUUGUCUAUGUUUCUUGGAACAGGACGUCACAGAGGGUGAGAAUCCCGUGCGAUGAGAUGCCCAAUUCCAUGUAAAGUUCCUUCGACGAGUCGAGUUGUUUGGGAAUGCAGCUCUAAGUGGGUGGUAAAUUCCAUCUAAAGCUAAAUAUUGGCGAGAGACCGAUAGCGAACAAGUACUGUGAAGGAAAGAUGAAAAGAACUUUGAAAAGAGAGUGAAAAAGUACGUGAAAUUGUUGAAAGGGAAGGGCUUGAGGUCAGACUUGGUUUACCAGGCCAGCAUCAGUUUGGAUGGCAGGAUAAUAACUAAGAAAAGUGGCACUGCUUCGGUGGUGUGUUAUAGUCUUGGUUGAUACUGCCUGUCUAGACUGAGGACUGCGUCUUUGACUAGGAUGCUGGCAUAAUGACCUUAAGCCGCCCGUCUUGAAACACGGACCAAGGAGUCUAACGUCUAUGCGAGUGUUUGGGUGUAAAACCCGUACGCGUAAUGAAAGUGAACGUAGGUGAGAGCCCUUUGGGUGCAUCAUCGACCGAUCCUGAUGUCUUCGGAU